rnacentral:rRNA from 1 species
CCUACGGGAGGCUGCAGUGGGGAAUAUUGGACAAUGGGGGGAACCCUGAUCCAGCCAUGCCGCGUGUGUGAAGAAGGCCCUCGGGUUGUAAAGCACUUUCAGUGAGGAAGAACGCCUGGUGGUUAAUACCCAUCAGGAAAGACAUCACUCACAGAAGAAGCACCGGCUAACUCCGUGCCAGCAGCCGCGGUAAUACGGAGGGUGCGAGCGUUAAUCGGAAUUACUGGGCGUAAAGCGCGCGUAGGUGGCUUGAUAAGCCGGUUGUGAAAGCCCCGGGCUCAACCUGGGAACGGCAUCCGGAACUGUCAAGCUAGAGUGCAGGAGAGGAAGGUAGAAUUCCCGGUGUAGCGGUGAAAUGCGUAGAGAUCGGGAGGAAUACCAGUGGCGAAGGCGGCCUUCUGGACUGACACUGACACUGAGGUGUGAAAGCGUGGGUAGCAAACAGGAUUAGAUACCCGUGUAGUC